AACGAACGCUGGCGGCAGGCUUAACACAUGCAAGUCGAGCGCCCCGCAAGGGGAGCGGCAGACGGGUGAGUAACGCGCGGGAAUCUACCCAUCUCUACGGAAUAACGCAUGGAAACGUGUGCUAAUACCGUAUACAUCCUUCGGGAGAGAGAUUUAUCGGAGAUGGAUGAGCCCGCGUUGGAUUAGCUAGUUGGUGGGGUAAAGGCCUACCAAGGCGACGAUCCAUAGCUGGUCUGAGAGGAUGUUCAGCCACACUGGGACUGAGACACGGCCCAGACUCCUACGGGAGGCAGCAGUGGGGAAUAGUGGACAAUGGGCGCAAGCCUGAUCCAGCCAUGCCGCGUGAGUGAUGAAGGCCCUAGGGUUGUAAAGCUCUUUCACCGGUGAAGAUAAUGACGGUAACCGGAGAAGAAGCCCCGGCUAACUUCGUGCCAGCAGCCGCCGUAAUAC
rnacentral:rRNA from 1 species